rnacentral:rRNA from 1 species
UACGUAGGGGGCAAGCGUUGUCCGGAAUCAUUGGGCGUAAAGCGCGUGUAGGCGGCUUGGUAAGUCUGCUCUGAAAGCCCGGGGCUCAACCCCGGGAGGCGGGUGGAUACUGUCAAGCUCGAGCCGGAAGAGGAGUGUGGAAUUCCUGGUGUAGCGGUGAAAUGCGCAGAUAUCAGGAGGAACACCUGGUGGCGAAGGCGGGUCUCU